GAUGAACGCUGGCGGCGUGCCUAAUACAUGCAAGUCGAGCGAACAGACGAGGAGCUUGCUCCUCUGACGUUAUCGGCGGACGGGUGAGUAACACGUGGAUAACCUACCUAUAAGACUGGGAUAACUUCGGGAAACCGGCGCUAAUACCGGAUUAUAUAUUGAACCGUAUGGUUCAAUAGUGAAAGACGGUUUUGCUGUUACUUAUAGAUGGAUCCGCGCCGCAUUAGCUAGUUGGUAAGGUAACGGCUUACCAAGGCAACGAUGCGUAGCCGACCUGAGAGGGUGAUCGGCCACACUGGAACUGAGACACGGUCCAGACUCCUACGGGAGGCAGCAGUAGGGAAUCUUCCGCAAUGGGCGAAAGCUUGACGGAGCAACGCCGCGUGAGUGAUGAAGGUCUUCGGAUCGUAAAACUCUGUUAUUAGGGAAGAACAAAUGUGUAAGUAACUAUGCACGUCUUGACGGUACCUAAUCAGAAAGCCACGGCUAACUACGUG
rnacentral:rRNA from 1 species